CCUACGGGAGGCAGCAGUGAGGAAUAUUGGUCAAUGGACGCAAGUCUGAACCAGCCAUGCCGCGUGCAGGAAGACGGCUCUAUGAGUUGUAAACUGCUUUUGUACGAGGGUAAACGCAGAUACGCGUAUCUGUCUGAAAGUAUCGUACGAAUAAGGAUCGGCUAACUCCGUGCCAGCAGCCGCGGUAAUACGGAGGAUUCAAGCGUUAUCCGGAUUUAUUGGGUUUAAAGGGUGCGUAGGCGGUCGGUUAAGUUAGUGGUGAAAUCUCGAGGCUCAACUGCGGAAUUGACACUGAUACUGGUCGUCUAGAGAGUAGUUGCGGUAGGCGGAAUGUAUGGUGUAGCGGUGAAAUGCUUAGAGAUCAUACAGAACACCGAUUGCGAAGGCAGCUUACCAAGCUACUUCUGACAUUGAGGCACGAAAGCGUGGGGAGCAAACAGGAUUAGAUACCCGAGUAGUC
rnacentral:rRNA from 1 species